AGGUGAAACUGCUGCUGCUUCUGAGUCCCUCUGUUACCAGCAGCCGAAUGUUGAAAGUGGCGCUGGUAGCAGAGGGACUCAGGAGUGGUGUCGGUG